rnacentral:tRNA from 9 species
GCGGGAUGGAGCAGUCUGGUAGCUCGUCGGGCUCAUAACCCGAAGGUCGUUGGUUCAAAUCCAGCUCCCGCU